AUUGAACGCUGGCGGCAGGCCUAACACAUGCAAGUCGAGCGAGAAAGGUCUUCGGACUGAGUACAGCGGCGGACGGGUGAGUAAUGCGCAGGAAUCUACCUGGUAGUGGGGGAUAACUCGGGGAAACUCGAACUAAUACCGCAUACGCCUACGGGGAAAGCGGGGACCGUUCGGGCCUCGCGCUAUCAGAUGAGCCUGCGUAGGAUUAGCUUGUUGGUGAGGUAAAGGCUCACCAAGGCGACGAUCCUUAGCUGGUCUGAGAGGAUGAUCAGCCACACUGGAACUGAGACACGGUCCAGACUCCUACGGGAGGCAGCAGUGGGGAAUAUUGCGCAAUGGGCGAAAGCCUGACGCAGCCAUGCCGCGUGUGUGAAGAAGGCCCUUGGGUUGUAAAGCACUUUCAAUUGGGAAGAAAGGUUGCGUGUUAAUAGCACGUAGCUGUGACGUUACCUUUAGAAGAAGCACCGGCUAACUCCGUGCCAGCAGCCG
rnacentral:rRNA from 1 species